CAGACACCGAACAGCGAGCAGAACCAGAACCCGAACCGGAACCAGAACCGCUACCUGAGAGGGCUACUAAUUCUCUCCACCCAUCUUUCAGCGCCAGAGAAAUACAAAAGAGGUUCACAGCAGAAAAUCUGCAAGCGAGAGUUGUUUUGCUGCACGGAUUGAUUAUAGAAUCUUUUCUACUUCUGGACAGACAGCCACAACGAAAAC